rnacentral:rRNA from 1 species
GAUGAACGCUGGCGGCGUGCCUAAUACAUGCAAGUAGAACGCUGAAGGAAGGAGCUUGCUCUUUCCGGAUGAGUUGCGAACGGGUGAGUAACGCGUAGGUAACCUGCCUGGUAGCGGGGGAUAACUAUUGGAAACGAUAGCUAAUACCGCAUAACAGUAGAUGUUGCAUGAUAUCUACUUAAAAGGUGCAAUUGCACCACUACCAGAUGGACCUGCGUUGUAUUAGCUAGUUGGUGAGGUAACGGCUCACCAAGGCGACGAUACAUAGCCGACCUGAGAGGGUGAUCGGCCACACUGGGACUGGGACACGGCCCAGACUCCUACGGGAGGCAGCAGUAGGGAAUCUUCGGCCAUGGACGGAAGUCUGACCGAGCAACGCCGCGUGAGUGAAGAAGGUUUUCGGAUCGUAAAGCUCUGUUUUAAGAGAAGAACGAGUGUGAGAGUGGAAAGUUCACACUGUGACGGUAUCUUACCAGAAAGGGACGGCUAACUACGUG